ACACUUACUGGGCAGGGGAGACACCUUGAUCAUAAAGGAGGUUUUCCCAGGGUGAGGCUCAUCCAUUGCACUGCGAGUGUGCUGACCCCUGCGAUCUUCCCAAAUGUGGGAAACUAGUGUGUGUAGUAGGCUUGUGCAUUUCGAUUUGGGCACAAA